GAUGUACUCCGCCUCGCACGAAGAUACGGCAACAACCUUCUGCCUCACCGAUUGCCAGCUGACGGGACUAUUCCCGAGAAGGAAUAGUAUGCCCGAGGUGCUCUUCCGAGAGUCCACGUCACCAGCGUGGUCGGAGUCACUGUACCCGACCAAGCUCUCGCCGUCACCACGGCGAUACACGCAUCCAUGCGUGAGCGUACCCGCGAUGUACCGGAGCAGGUGCUUGAUAGCAGCGAGGUGAUCGCUUGUCGGGG
rnacentral:rRNA from 1 species